ensembl:lncRNA
CUCUGAGGAACCACAGCACUGAUCUGAGGAUAGAGACAGCAGCCAGCAGACCAGGCCAAUUAAAUAGAAAAAGUAAAUAAUGUUAACUUACAUACUACUCCACAGCUGAAUUAAUUAGAAUUAAUAAAAAUAUGUAAAAAAUAAAGAACGAAGCAGGUUCACUUUAAUUUGUUUUAUUUCUGAUCAAAUUAUGAUGCUCAACAGUCCAUAUGAUGGUUAGGUUCUAAAACUAAAAACUAUAAAAAUAUCACUGAGCACAAUAACAACAGACAUGGUUUUCUAUGUUUACUAGUUUAUUGGGAAUAUAAACAAAGACCUCACCGUCAACUUAAUCACAACCAGUUCAAGUAACCCUCAAUACCCUGAAGUGGUCAAUGUACAUAAAGUAUGACCAAAAUCCCUCCCAAAUGGCACAGAUACUGUCAGUGUAAACAGCACAAAAGCACAUGGAACAUAUAUUUUUUCAGAUCCAAUCUUCCUGCAGUGUAAACACAGACAAAAAAGACCAACUGCAGAAUAAAAACGAUCCCAUCUCACAAAACAAAACACCAAAAACAUUUUCAUUAGCAUUUCAGUGCUCUAGUUUUAAACGGUCAUUUAAAAAAAAUCAACUAUGAUUUUAUGAAUUAUUUCCGUUUUUUUUAUUAAACCAAUUUGUCAAGUUCACAAUGUAGAUCCUUGAAUACUCAUCUUAGGCUGAAUUAUGACCAAACCCUCCGUCAGAUUGUUAAAUCACUUGAAUUAAUCACAUAACACAUUUCUUCAUUUAUAGAUUUUGUCAUUAAGCACAUAAUGCAUGUCACUCUGCAUUUCUUGUGUAGGUUAUUUCUUUUCAAUCAAAUUCUUUCCAUUUUGCACUAGAAUAUUUCCUCUCACUCACUCAAACAGUGGGUCAGUGUUAAAUCAGGAUUGGUGAUUCUAAAUUCAGAAUACAAUUUGAAAAGUUGCAUUAAGGUUCAUAUUAAAGUUGAUAGAGAAGACAUAAAGCUUGGUAAGUCAGACAUGUGAUUAGUUUUUUUAAAACAUAGAUAGGAACACAAGAAAGAAUGGCAACAAUAUCACACAAACUUCAGCUUCAUUCUACAGUUAUUGCUUUUCCAACCAGCAGUACAAAGACUUUCAAAAAGCACAGGAGUAACUGUGGAAAGAAAUACACCCUACUUAACAGUACUGUCACCUAUCAUCUUGGGUUAGUUGUUCUCUCAUAAAUUCUAUUCAAUUCUGUUUGCCUACAUAGCGAUACAAACAGCAAACGUCUCCAGGGGCUUUAUAGCACACAGAGCCUGAGGAAGCACAGAAGUGACAAUGGCAAGGAACUCUUAGCUUUUAACAAGAAUCCUUGAGCCGCAGACAUCCCCCUAACAAAGACUUUUAACAUAUAUAAUAACGCUGGAGUCUUUCGCUGAUCGGAACUUUGGGGAUACCAGGAUCCUGGUUGUCUCGGUCUGCUCUCACCACACUAUUGCACUCCUAUCUGGUAGGGGGCGCCCUCUGUCUGCUUCAGUCACAGACUGUCACAGGAUCAAAUGAGAGCCUGGUGCAAAAGGUCACAGCACAGUACUUCUCAUGAAAACUCAGUUUGGUCCAGUUCGGCAACACACAUCUGUUUACAAACAGUCCUUACUCUUAUUCCUAAAAAACUAAAGGCACUUUGGGAAUUAUAGGUUAUUGCAAGGGGCUCACUAAACAAGCAUAGGAAAUUAAAAUUCUAGCAGUACCUGAAUUUAAACCAAAUGGGUACAAAAUCCCACAAAUAUUAACAAGGCAAAUAACAAUCCAGGGUGGAAACACUUUUCUGCUGACAUGUAAAACACACAGCAACUUUUCACUUAUGACAAGCACUGAAGUAAAGAGACAAACUGAUUGUACUGUAUGAAGACUACAUUUGCAUUGUUGUUAAUGAUAAUUUGGCAUUAGCACACCAUCACAACACAUGAAGACAGAAAGACCAUCUGGAAAAGUCACUCACUACAGGCAACAUGCUCCUGUCUAUGCGACUAAAAGAGGAUGACUUCUUAUGAAACAUGUCUAAAGAACAUAACAUAAUUAACCAAUUCGUUUAUUUUUUUUUAAAUCCUGCCAUUUGGUGUGUUUUAAAACGUUUUUGUGAAAAUAAUGACCCACUGUUGCUGUGCUUACAUCACAAACAAGACAGACUAACCGGAAUAUAUCAAAGACGCCUGAUGUACCGUCAGAGACCUGAGAAAUUUCUCUUAGUAUAUACACUGUGGUUUUCAGAAUUUCCUCAUACGCUGACCAUAUUGCUAUAUCAGUGGCUUUGAAAGGCAAUGACCAACCAUGUCAAUGUCUCAUCCAGUCACAGAGGUUCAUGAAAGGUUAGGAGGAUAAGGAGUAACACCCCAUGCCUGUCUUCCUCUUAUUGCUCAAUUUUUCUCUCACAGUGCAUGUCAGAAUACAGUACAAAAUGAGUACACCUCAAGUACUCGAACACUGCAGCAUCAGCCAGCACAGUGUCAUUUUGUGUGAAAGUUAAAGGCCAACCUCAGAGUACAAACAGCCAAGGAACAAUCCACCCUGAAACACAUUUAAAUGGCUUUAAGACAAAGAAUAAUACAUAUUUUUUUUAUGAAAUUGGAUAAUUCACUAAGUAAUUGCCUUUGUGGUCUGUAACUAGGCCGGUCAAAUGUGUCCUCCAUUGACAACAACACCUUGUGUCUGUGUCUAU